rnacentral:rRNA from 1 species
GUAGGUGGCAAGCGUUGUCCGGAAUUAUUGGGCGUAAAGCGCGCGCAGGUGGUUCUUUAAGUCUGAUGUGAAAGCCCCCGGCUCAACCGGGGAGGGUCAUUGGAAACUGGGGAACUUGAGUGCAGGAGAGGAAAGUGGAAUUCCACGUGUAGCGGUGAAAUGCGUAGAUAUGUGGAGGAACACCAGUGGCGAAGGCGACUUUCUGGCCUGUAACUGACACUGAGGCGCGAAAGCGUGGGGAGCAAACAGGGAUUAGAUACCCUGGUAGUCCGCGCCGUAAACGAUGAGUGCUAAGUGUUGGGGGGGUUUCCGCCCCCUCAGUGCUGCAGCUAACGCAUUAAGCACCCCCGCCUGGGGAGUACGGUCGCAAGACUG